rnacentral:lncRNA from 1 species
UGAAGGGCUCUUUGAUGACUCCCUCACCCAUCUUUUUCUUUUCUCCUUGACCAUGGUGCUCUUCCUUAUUGCAGACUUUACUGCCCCUUCAGCCUGGGCUUCAAAAGGUGAACACGUACAGCAGAUGUGAGAGCAACCACCAGCAAGGAACAAAACCUGCACUCAGCAGAACCCAGCCUAGAUCCGCUGACCAGCCAACCAACAUAGAGAUACAUUCAUGAGAAUAAAUAAUUGCUGCAAGUUACAGAGUUCUAUAUAAGUUUUUGGAUGUAGUAUUAUGAUGCUAAUAACUAAUGGAUAUAGAAAUUGGUCUUAUAUCAGGAGAAAGUGCAUCCAGAACUGACGUGAAUGCCGAGAUCUUGGUCUUUGAGCCUGAUGCUGUGAUUCCAUGAGACUUCUGCGGCUCUUUGGGGUGGAGCACCUAGGAGCAGCACCCAAGGAGGAAAGAUUCCAUUCCUCCCCACGCCAUCACACCUUACCUGUGGGUAAUUGUAGCGUUCCAGCAGUGUCCCCAUCUGAGCUGAAAUGGCCCAUGUGGUUCCUGCAAUAACCACUACAGAACUGCUCUCUCUCACACAGGUGCACAGAGGAAAGGCCAUAUGAGCACACAGAGGGAAGGUGGCCGUCCACAAGCCAAGAGAAGAGGGCUCAAAAUGAAACCAAUCCACCUGGAGCCUGGAUCUGGGGCUUUUAGCGUAUAUAACUCUGAGAAAAUAAACUUGUGUUGGUUAGACCGCCUAGUGUUUCAUAUUUUGUUACAGCAUCCUGAGCUGACUAAUUCAUCUCAUAUGGGCACAUUCCUUGUUAGGAUUCUCUUACAGAGAAUCUCUUUCCAAGAUGAAAUUAAAGGGAAGUGAAUUCUCUCUUCAUUUCUUAAAAAUCACAAUGUAUAUCUGGGGAAUAAGAAAUUGUGGAAAAGCAAGGUGAAAUCCCCCAGGGGAAUGAGUUCCAGCAAUUCUCAUGACACACGGUGUGGCCUAACUCCCUAGCUUGUUGUUUUAUGUGCCUGGAGAAUCUGAAGAACAAGGCCAUCUGGAUCUCUAGACUUGAGUGCUGCUUUCCUGGAAUCCACCCUUGGAGCCCAGCCAUGUUGCAGGCUGACCCCAACCACCUGGAGGAGCCACCUGGGAGCACUGUGGUCCAUAGCCCCAACUGAGCUCCAGCCAGGUGAAUGUGCCAUCUUGUGAUGUUCAGUCCAGUCGAGACUUGUGGUGGCACAUCCUGCACGCCAUCUGAUGGCAACUCUGUGAAAGGCUCCUAGCAAGACCUGCCCAACCAAACCCUUCCUAAG